CGUCCCAGCUUAUCCUUCCCCCUCCCCAUGUCCUCAGGUCCAUUCUCUACAUCUGCGUCUUUAUUCCUGUCCUGCCCCUAGAUUGUUUUGAUGUUGAAUCUGGCCUGUCUGGAGGCUGUCCCUGUGAGCCAGUGAUUGGUCAGAGGUUAUGCCCACACUUUUUGACCAGUAAGGCUUCCACCCUUCGCCGAUGGAUCUGUGUGUAGGUCAGGGGAAUGCAUUCAAAGUCCAGGCAGUUGUGCAAGUUUGACCCCGCCUUUACCUUCUGCCAGGCCCUCUUGUGUCUCUUCCACAUGCGUGCAAGGCAUGCAUUCGGCCAAGGAUGUGUGGAGAGCCAGGGCUGUCUCGGGUCUCUCUGGAGUGGUGCAGCCUUGGGCCUGCAGGCAGCCUCCAGACCACAAAGGAUGUGAGGAAGACUACACACUGAUGAGAAGAGCCCUCCUUGUUCUUCCUCCAGGGCCCGGAGUGCCCCGGUCACCAGUGUUAGGUCCCUUAUUGCCAUGACCAAGAAGGAUGCCUGUGCUCGGACCUCAGGCGCAGCCCAGAGGCCUGAGCUCCACUGCUGAGGUACUGAGGGGACAGCUGGGGUCUUCCUGCCCUCACAGAAAAGUGAAGACUUCUGCUCCCAGCCAAUUCUACACGGCCUUCUCACUUCUCCUCCCCUUCACCAGUAAGCGGGUCAGGCCCGGAGGAAAGAGACCACAGGAUAUGGUUCUCAGCAGGGGAAUGUCGCUUCUUGGAGGAGUAGCAUCAACUGUCUGCUAGAAGGUUCAUUAAAGAAGCCCCUGACAAUAACAGAGAGGAGGUGAAGAAUAAUGGUGAUGAAUGUGGGUGAGCUGAACCGUGUGUCUUCUCGAUGGUGCCAGCCCCACGCAAGUCUCCUCGCCUCUGGCGGCCUCUGUUUAGGCUCAUCAAGGAAGGAGAUGAAGGGUCCAGACGAAUUCUCCUGGCUGAUGGCUGACUACAGGGAGGUGUGAAGAGCGGACCCUCAUGGGAUGGGGUAAGGCCCUGAAAGGAGGACACACAGCCACCAGAGGCAGAGCUGGGAUGUGGGGGGGCCUCCUGACUUGGGGGAGCUGGAGGACCCCUUUCUUUCAUCGUGGGAUAUCUUCCCCUGUCCUGGUCAGGGGUCCUUGGUGGUCCUUGGCAUUCAGUCAAUCAAUUACCAAUCACGCAGGCGGCACACGCUUGCAUGUCUCCAGACAGUAGGGAAGAGACUGAUGAGGAGGCUUGGUGGGCUGGAGGAGCCCUGGCGGGGAAGGGAAGAUGGAGGGAGACCAAGGGCCUUCGGGGAGGAGGGUCUGAGCUAACCUCCACCCCCAGAGCCUCAGGCUGUCUUUCUACUGUGGCCAGAGAAAGUUCUACAGGGACCUCUCACAGCUUUAUGGCCAAGACUCAUAGUGGAGGUAUCCGACCAAGGUGCCCUUAGUCUCACUUUUCAGAUGAAGAAACUGAGUCUCAGAGAGGUUGAGUGACUUGCCCCAGGUCACACAGCUGAUAAGUGGUGAAGUCAGAGUUCUUCGCUUCAGUAUCAGGAAGUAAGAAACACUCUCCAUGAAUCCUAUAAAAAUAUGUUUUGGGGGGACUUCCCUAGUGGUUCAGUGGUAAAAAAUCUGCUUUCCAACGUGGGGUAUGCGGGUUCGAUCCCUGUUCGGGGAGCUAAGAUCUCACGUGCUGCGGGGCAACUAAGCCCAUGCACCACAACUACUGAGCUCACGUGCCUCAACUAGAGAG